rnacentral:rRNA from 1 species
GACGAACGCUGGCGGCGUGCUUAACACAUGCAAGUCGAACGGAAAGGCCCUUCGGGGUACUCGAGUGGCGAACGGGUGAGUAACACGUGGGUGAUCUGCCCUGCACUUUGGGAUAAGCCUGGGAAACUGGGUCUAAUACCGAAUAGGACCACGGCCUUCAUGGGUUGUGGUUGAAGGCUUUUGCGGUGUGGGAUGGGCUCGCGGCCUAUCAGCUUGUUGGGGGGGUAAUGGCCUACCAAGGUGAUGACGGGUAGCCGGCCUGAGAGGGUGACCGGCCACACUGGGACUGAGAUACGGCCCAGACUCCUACGGGAGGCAGCAGUGGGGAAUAUUGCACAAUGGGCGCAAGCCUGAUGCAGCGACGCCGCGUGAGGGAUGACGGCCUUCGGGUUGUAAACCUCUUUCAGCAGGGACGAAGCGCAAGUGACGGUACCUGUAGAAGAAGGACCGGCCAACUACGUGCCAGCAGCCGCCGUAAAAC